CCUACGGGAGGCAGCAGUGGGGGAUAUUGCACAAUGGGGGAAACCCUGAUGCAGCGACGCCGCGUGAGUGAAGAAGUAUUUCGGUACGUAAAGCUCUAUCAGCAGGGAAGAGAUAAAGUCCUUUGGACUUUGGACGGUACCUGACUAAGAAGCCCCGGCUAACUACGUGCCAGCAGCCGCGGUAAUACGUAGGGGGCAAGCGUUAUCCGGAUUUACUGGGUGUAAAGGGAGCGUAGACGGCGAUGCAAGUCUGAAGUGAAAGCCCGGGGCUCAACCCCGGGACUGCUUUGGAAACUGUAUGGCUG
rnacentral:rRNA from 1 species